rnacentral:lncRNA from 1 species
CGAGAAUGUACGGCUUUCUCCUAAGUAGCGCUUGAAGCACUUUACCCAAAUCAAGUCCCUUUUGUAUCACUCCUUCCCUGCCUUUCCUACCUAUCACUCUCGUGCUGAAAGUUGGAGCUCCUUACCCAAAGACUGGGCGGAAAGGGUGACCGCCCUGGACCCCUGCCCGACUUCCCGUUAGGCCAAGCCGCUGUCCUGAAAGGGGAUCGUGUCCAGGCCGGCUUCCUGGAGACACACCUGCGCCUGCACACACCCACCGCGGUCGCGUCACCAGUGCCGCGGCCACGUGGACGAAGACCAAAGUCUGGAGGGAAUUCCCUCAGCCACAAAGCGAUGGGAAAGCGGGACCCGGUGGAGACCAGAGUCUUGCUAUGCUUUCCAGGCUGGUUUUGAACUCCUAGCCUCAAGCGAUUUUCCUGCCUCAGCUUCCCAAAGUGCUGGGAUUACAGGCACAAGCCACUGCACCCGGCCCUGUUGUUGUUAAGAAAAUUACAAGUUAAAUCUUGUACCAGUGAACAAGGUUUGUAUAGAUGAUUUUAUUGUCUUGAAAUUUUAUUUUAUCUCACUUUAAAAAAAUAGAAGCAUAUUAGAAUAUACUUUGUUCUAUACCCAAAUCUUGUGUUAAACUCUUUAAAAAUGUCUUUUCAGUGUUUGGUAAAAGCUGCAAUGAGUCGUACAGAUGUAUAUUUCACAUUAAUUAUUAAUAAUUAUAAUUUAGAAAUGUUAAUUACAGUCAUUUAAAGGAACUUCAACAAACUAAUGGUUAUUGAAGUUACAUUAAGAAUAUCUAUAAUCAUGAAGAGUAGUGGCCUAAUACAGUAAUGAAAGACAGAUCUUUAAAUUUAAAAAGGAAAAAUGUGAUUGUGUGUUUUCGUACGUUAUUAAGUUGUAGACAAUAUACCAAAACAUACAUCAGAGGACAUUCACUUAUGGCCAUAGAUAGUAGCUAAUGCCAGACACAUCCUCCCACUAGAAACAACUAGAAAUACACAAGAUAACUGAUUCUAGACAUUUGACAACAAACAUUGCAGGGCAGUGAUACUUGAGAGAAAGGAAACACAAUGUGAUCUGCACGUCCUCUUCAGCUUUCUGUCUGGGGACACCAAGUAGACUAAAAGGAAGUGGAAUCCAAGGAAGUAUGGAAGUCUUGCUGAGCUGAAGAAAUCUAGAUAAAAGUUUAGAGUAGUUGUCAUCCCUGAAAUUUGUAAGACAGAAUACCACAAAGAAAGGAGUAUGCAGAAGAAGAGGACAAAGAAGAUUUCACAAGCAUUCCUGUGUAGCCCAUGUGCAGGAUAGGACUUAAUGAGGCCUAGCAGAGAAUGGUUGCUAUGAACAAGAGAACUGGGCCAAGAUAUCAUAGACUGUGCAGUACUGCAAACACUGGAAUACUGUCCCAGCCUAAAUGGAGAGACCUUACUAAGCACCUCAUCCAUUCAAUUGAAAUUCUAAAGAGGAUAGACCUUAGGAGUAAAUACCAUGUCCCAGACAAAGGGCCAUGUCUCAGGACUAAGGAUAAAACUGACAUAGAAUAAAUAAUAAUAAUACAUAACAAAACAAAGCCUAGCAAGAUCAAGAGGAUUUUUUAGUAGUUUAAUAGCCUGAUAGAAUAAACCUCAACACCAUUUAAAAGAAGAUAACAUAAUCCAGACUCUCUGUAACUCCUUUAUAACAAUAUUCAACAGGAGGUUAAAAAAUAUUGUACCUGUAAAGAAGCAGAAAUAUGUGACUCAUAAUCAAAAUAAGACAUGGUCAAUAGAAGCAGAAUCCAAGAUGACCCAAAUGUUGGAAUUAGCAGAUGAGGUCUUUAAAACAGCUAUUAUAAAUAUAUGUAAGGAUGCAUGGGAAAAGAUGAAUAUGUGAUUAAACAGAUGAGAAUGAUCAGCAAAGAAAUAAACCAAAUGGAUAUAUUAGAAAUAAAAAGCAAAUAUCUGAAAUGUAAAAUUUAUUCGAUGGUUAGAGCAGUUUGGAGAUGGCAAAAGGAUGGGUGAAUUAUCUCUAACAGAGAGCAAUAGAAAUUAUAUAAUUUAAUAACAGAAAGGAAAAGAUUGGAAAAAAUAUAUAAACAGCCUCAGUGAACUCUGGAACAACCCUGCAAAGUUAGUAUAUAUAUAAUUGGAGUCCUAAGGCUAAGCAUGGUGGCUCAUACCUGUAAUCCCAACACUUUGGGAGGCUGAGGCAGGAGUUCAAGACCAGCCUGAGCAACACAGUGAGACCCCCAUCUCUACCAAAAAAAAAAAAAAGCUGGGCAUGGUGGCACAUGUCUAUAGUCCUAGCUACUUGGGAGGCUGAGGUGGGAGGAUCACUUAAGCCUUGAAGUAAAGGCUGCAGUGAGCUCUGAUUGUACCACUGUGCUCCAGCCCGUGCUGGACAGAGUGAGACCCUAUCUCUAAAGUAAAAGAUAAUAAUAAUUAGAGUCUCAGUAAAAGAAAGGAAAAAGAAAAUGGGGUAGAGUGAAAUUUUUAAAAAAAUUCUCUAAUUUGGUGAAAAACAUCAGCCUACAGAUUGAAGAAUCAACAAACUCCAAGCAGAAUAAAUACAAAAAAUAAAAUAAAGAAAGAAAACACACCAGCUACACUGUAGUCAAAAGGUUAAAAACCAAAAAUAUAGAAUAAAUGUUGAAACAGAAAAAAAAGUCAAUGACAUAAGGGGAACAAUGCUAUGAAUCACAGUUGACUUCUUACUAGAAACAGUGGAGGCCAAAAGAAAUGGAAUGAUGCCAUUAAAGUACUGAAAGAAUAGAGCAACCCAGCUUUUUUUUUUUUUUAAGACCUUGUUUGGCUCAGUCGCCUAGACUGGAGUGAAGUGAUGCAGUCACAGCUCACUGCAGCCUCAACCUCCUAAGCUCAAGUGAUCCUCUCACCUCAGCCUCCCAAUUAGCUAGGACUACGAGUGUAUGCCACUAUGUCCAACUAAUUUUUUUUUUUUUUAGAGAUGGGGUCUCAGCUACGUUGCCCAAACUGUUCUUGAACUCCUGGGUUCAAGCAAUCCUCCUGCCUUAGCCUUCCAAAGUGCUGGGAUUACAAGUGUGAGCCACCACACCUGGCCAGAAUUCUAACAUUUUCUCAAAAAUGAAAACAAAAAAGACAUUUUCUGAUAAACAAAUGCUGGGAGGAUUCAUUGUAAACUAUAUUAAAUACUAAUAGAAGAAUUGGGGGCGGUGGUGAUGGAAAAUGAUAGCACAGGGAAAUCUAAACUACAGAAAGUAAUAAAUAGCACCAGAAAUGGUAAGUAGACGUGUAAAUAUAAAGAACUUUUUUCUUCUCAUUUUUUUAAAACAGACUAUUUAAAGACAAAUAUAUUGUAGGACUCUCAAUUCAUGUAGAAGUAAAAUACAUGACAGCAAUAACAAAAAAGGACAGAGGGUUUUGUUUGUGUGUGUGUGUGUGUGUUUAUUUUAAGCAAUGCUUUUGGAGAAAGAAAAAAAGGACAGAGUUAACAAAAUUGUACUAUUGUAAGAUUCUUACAUUUCACAUGAAGUAGUAUAAUAUUAACUCUAAACAGACUGUUAAGGUUGUGCUGACUACUAUGGUAGUCAGUAGCCACAAGUGACUAAAUUUAAACUUAAAUUAAUUAAAAAUAAAUAAAAUUUAAAUUUCAGUCUUCAGUUGUACUAGCCAUAUUUCAAGGUAUCAACAGUCACAGGUAGCCAGUGUCUACCAUAUUGGAAAGACAUAGAACAUUUUCACUACUAAAGAACAUUUAGUUGGAGAAUGCUGCCCUAUAGCAACCAUAAAAAAAAAAAAAUACAGACAUAUAACUUUAAAAUCAAUAAAUGAAUUAGAAUACUAAGAAUAUUGUAUAAACCAAAAUAAAGCCAUGAAGGAGGAAAUGAGAAACAAACAAAAAAUGAGACAAGCAGAAAACAAAUAGCAAGGUGAUAGACUUAAAUCCUACCAAAUCAAUAAUUAUAUUAAAUAUAAAUGAACUAAACAGUCCAAAGAAAAGAAAAAGAUUGCAAGGAUGAAUAAAAAGCAAGAUUCAAGUAAGAGCUUUGGCAUGAGAUGCAAUGCAUUUUAAAGAUCCAGAUAGGUUGAAAGUAAAAGGAAGGGAAAACAUAGACCAAGCAAAUCUAAGAAACCUGGUAUUGAUAUACUAUUAUUAUACAAAACAAACUUCAAGUCAAAAAGAAUUAUCAAAGUUGAAGAGUGACAUUCCUUAAUGAAAAAUGGUCAUUUCAUCAUGAAGACAUAAAAAAUAUAAAUGUUUAUGUGACUAAAAAGCUUCAAGUAUAAGAAGCAAGAUAUGAAAAUUAAAGGAACAGGCCCAGCACAGUGGCUCAUGCCUAUAAUCCCAGAACUUUGGGAGGCCAAGGUGGGAGGAAUGCUCAAGCCCAGGAGUUCGAGACUAGCCUGGGCAACAUAGUGAGAUCCUGUCUCUACAAAAAAAUUUUAAAAUUAGGUGGGCAUGGUGAUAGACAUCUGUAGCUGUAGCAUCUGUAGCUACUCGAGAGGCUGGGGCAGGAGGAUUGUUUGAACUCAGGAGGUCAAGGCUGCAAUGAGCUGUGAUCAGAUCAUGCCACUGCACUCCAGCCUGGAUGACAGAGUGAGACCCUGUCUCAAAAAAAAAAAAAAAAAAUUGAAGGAACAAAUAUACAAAUCUGUAAUCACAGUUGAACAUUUUUAAUUCACCUACAUGUACUUUGUAGAACUAGACAUAGAUAUGUGAAUAUAAAUGAUUUGAACACUAUCAACCAACUUAACCUAAUUGAUAAAUAGAGAAUACUUCACCUAGUAUCUGCAGAAUAAACAACGAUUUUCAAGUGCACAUGGACUAGUUACCAAGAUAGAUCUCGUGCUGAAAUAUAAAAUGUGGCUUAAUAAAUUUCAAAGGAUUGAAAAAUACAGAAUAUGCUCUCUAAACAUAACAGAAUGAAAUUAGAAAUCAAUAACAAUAAGAUAUCUUAAAACUCCCAAAUAUUUGGAAGUCCCACAACAUAGUUCUAAAUAACUGAGUUAAAGAAGAAAUCACAGUAAAUUUAAAAGAUAUUUUAGCCUGAAUAAUAAUUUUAAAAAUCAAAAUUUGUGGAUGUUCCAUAGACAGCAGGUCUAUGCAAACCUACCCCCCAAAAUUAAGGUAGCUGAGAUGUUGAAGAAAGAGGCUGACAAAUCCGUUUUCUCAGAAAGAAACCUUUAAUAGGAACUUAGGAACAGAAGCCAUGUCUAGGGCAGCCAUGAGAUGAGAUGGUGGAUCCCCACACUUUCCCCCAACCCGGACCCAGGGCUUAUAUGCCAUAAAGAAAGGCAUGUAAGUCCUGCUUCAGAAGGACUGUGUAAAACAACUGAAGUGGACCCCUCUGGGAAAGGCAAGAAUGCUAUAUGCUUCACAGCCUAUAAUUUGCUUAAGGCAGGAUUUAUGGUAAGUAUUUGCUUACAUUUUAUGCCACAGAUCACAUAGUUAUUAAUAGAAUAAUAAGGAAAUAUUGUGCAUAACAUUAUGCCAAUAAAUUCAACAACUUAGAUAAAUUGGACACAUUUCUUGAAAAAUACAACAUGUAAAAAUCUGACACAAGAAGAAACAGAAAAUCUGAAUAGCCCUGUCUCUGUUAAAGAAAUAGAACAGGGAAAACUCUGUAGUGAUAGAAACUAGGUCAGUGGUUGCCUAUGUAGAAUGUCAACUGAAAGAGAACAUGAGAGAACUCUUGGGAAUGAUGAAAAAAAUUCUAUAUCAUAAACUUUUUGUGGUAGUUACAAGGGUGUAUCAUUUGGUAAAUCCAUAAAAUUUUGCCUUUAAGAUAUGUACUUCUUUUUCAGACAGGAUCUCAUUCUGUCACCAAGGCUGGAAUGCAAUGGUGCAAUCACAGCUCACUGCAGCCUUGAACUCCCAGACUCCAGUGAUCCUCCCACCUCAGCCUCCUGAGUAGCUGGGACUACAGGCACACACUACCACACCCAGCUAAUUUUGUAUUUUUUGUAGAGAGAAGGUCUCACCAUGUUGACCAGGCUGGUCUCCAAUUCCUGAGCUCAAGCAAUCCUCCUGCCUUAGCCUCCCAAAGUUUUGGGAUUAUAGGCAUGAGCCUCAGUGCCUGAACAGAUGUGUACAUUUCACUGUAUGCACACGUUACCUUGAGCAUAUAAGUUGCAUGCCAAAAACUAUGACAUAAACACAAAAUGUGAAACAUUCUGACAUUUUAAAUCUUAAAUAUAAUUGAAGUAAAAAAGUCCCCUGAGAUAUCUUAGGUACGAUAUAUGCUAAAAUGCAAAACAUAUCCUACAACUUUAUUUGAAAAAUGUUUAUUUUCCUUCUGAAUAAAAGUUCCAAAGUUCAAACCCAAUCAUAUUUAUUUCAGUGAUGAUAAUAAUGACUGUACUGAUUCAUCCUUCCAGAUUUAGCUUGUGAACCUUCUUCAGUGUAAUUUUUCUGGAACCACCAUGAUGAAGUAGAGUCAUUGUCUGGGGUAAAUACCUGAGGUUCCUUCUCUCAGCCAGGAAAUCGAGGACAUGGACACACGAGAAGUGGAUUUAAGAGCAGAAGUUUAAUAGGCGAAAGAAAGAGAAAAGAGAAUCUCUCUCCUGCAGAGAGAGCGGGGCGCCUGAGUGGGUCUUCCGGUCCCAUGGUGAAGUACACAGGUUUUAUAGACUGGCUUGAGGAGGUGGUGUCUGAUUUACAUAGGGCCCAAAGAUCGGUUGGACCAGGUGUGAUGUUUACAUAACAGGAGAAGAAGCUGACCACCCCACCCUAAUCUUUUAUUCUGCAAAUGGAUUUUCUACCUUGCCAGUGCCACGUUUUCUGUUCUUUACCAUUCACAAGGUUGACAAAAGGGAAGAUGGAACUGCCAUGCUGAACAUGCCUAGCCCCCAGGUAGCCUUUUCCUAUUGUCACAGCUGCCAGCCAUUCACCCGUGCAAGCUUGCAGCUUGCUUAUCAGUCUGCAGCUCGAUUUUUCAGCCUGCUUUUGUUAGAAAAGGAAGGAUUUGGGGGCUACUUUUCAUUAAAAGGAAAACCUUACCAAGGACUUCCUUACCCUCACUAUCUGCCUAAAUAUUUCUCUUUAACUCCUAUAUCAAUGACGAUUUAAAUUCUCCCUCUGUUCCCUUGUCUCCCAGUAUACAUCUCCCUUACAGCACCUGUAUACUGUGUUCUGAUGGUCUAAAUAUAGUUAUUCUCCUCUACCCCACAUUGUGAUCUUUGAACAUAAGACUGUGCUUUUAUCUCAUUUUCCCAGUGCCUGUCAUAUUGCCAGGCUUAGCAGGUGCUCAAUAAAUUCUGUUUCAUCAAGUGCUUGAAUGAUAGUCAUAUGGAGAUUCUUUCAGUCAGAAUAUACUAUUGGUCUUGAGAAGAUGAUUUAAACAUUUUUUCCUUUGAAUUUGAUUCCCUUCCUGUUACAUGUUAUCUAAGAAAACAUAUCCUACAGAAGUAUUCCAAAACCCGAGAAAGAAAACACACAACAAAACAAAAAGAUUAGAUAGCAGAUACUGAAUGAAAUGCUCAAAAAUGCUCCAGUUCAAUAUUAAAUGAAAAAUAGAAAAGAGAAAGGAAAACUAUAUUAUGAGAUAAAGUGAAGUAGAGAAAUGAGACUUUGGACAUACACUCACAGGCUUUGGAUUAUAAGAGAAAGAAAAACUUACAUAUGGGGAAAGGAUCUUUGCAAUGGAAUUACUUCCCAAAAGGUGAGACAGUAUUCAAACUGAUGAAAAAUGUUAUUUGUCCUUUGAAAUGUUUAUUUUAAAAUAGGUUUUAUAAUAAUGCAUAGGUUUAUGAUCACAUUUUCUUAUAUCAAAUAACAAUACAGUUUGUUAACUUCUGUAGCUAUGUUCUAAUUGCAGAGCUCUAGUUUGAUUUUAGGUUGGGAGGGUGUAUUCAAAAAUAUAUAAGCUGAACUGAGAGGCUUUGCUUGUCUCAAAAAAAGGUCUCAUGGGAGAUGAAAGUAGAGUUGAAAACCUGAAAGGCAAAAGGUUGCAAGUUUACUGCAAGGUUUUGAGACAAGGAUGCUGUGGUACUAUUACAGUAGAUAGCUAAUCAGGUAUGAGCAGGGCAGAAGAGGGCUCCUCCUGCCCCACCAGGAAUGUCAGGCCAACAUCAAGUGAUGGUCAGGUGGUUGUUACACUGUUUCUCUAAAAUAAUAAUUGGUCACAGGUGGCCCCAGGGGAAGGCAGUCUCCCAGUAGAAAAAACCUGAAAGUUGUGAUCCGCAGCUUCCCGAUAAGAUCUCAGGAGUUGGGCGAGUGGGCUCAAGCAUGUGCAUUAGGAGGCAACAUGGCAGACUUUAACUGGUAUAUAUGACCUUCUAGGAACUUUUGACUGGUAAGGUAAGAACGCCUCAGGUGAGCAUGCAUACAACUCCAAUAAACACACUGAGCAUGCAGCCCCUCCCAGGCACUGGCUGGCCAUUGCACAUGCAGACCCUUCUUCAGUGUAAUCUUUCUGGAACCACCAUGAGGAUUUAAAUUCUCCCUCCCUGUACCCAUGUCCACCAGUACACAUGUCCCUUACGGCACCUAUACACUGUGUUCUCAUGGUGUAAAUGAAGUUAUUCUCCUUUACCCUACAUUAUGUGAUCUUUGAACAUAAGAUAGUGCUUUUAUCUCAGCCCAACCCAAGGGAAGAAUCAAGGGAGAAGUGACACCAGACCCCAGAAGCAUGCCAACAUAUAAAACCCCAAGUCAAAAGGUAAAACCAUGCACGUGAUCUCUCAGGUCGCCCACUUGGCCUUCUUCCAAGUGUACUUCCUUUCAUUCUUGCUAUAAAGCUUUUUAAUAAACUUUCACUCCUCCUCUAAAACUUGCCUUGCACUAUCUUUCUGCUUUAUGCCCCUUGGUCAAAUUCUUUCUUCUGAGGAGGCAAGAAUUGAGGUUGCUGCAGACCCAGAGGGAUUCACCGCUGGUAACAGUAAAAAGCAGGAAAAAAAGAGUUUUGGUAAAAACAAAAACAAAAACAAAAAAACUACCCUCUUACUCUCAGAUAUCUACGUACUGAAACAGGGCCACAUGACAAAGUUUUAUUAAAUAGAUACUAGUAUCCUCAAUUAAAAUAAUGAAAAUCUGUUUCACAUUUCUAGAGUUAAGGCUAGCACCUCAGAUAAUUUGUAAUUUGUAAAUGAAUAUGUAUCUUAUUUGUUUUCUCUAUCAUGUUGUAGAUUAGGGAUCGUGAUGUGGAGCUGCACUUCCUGGUUCCAAAUCCUGGCUCUUCCCCUCAUCCCUGGGUAAGUUGAGGGAUGAGAGCAAGAGAAGGUUGAUCCUGACUCAGAUCUCUGCAUGGGGCAUGUCACUGAUGACGGCGGCAUUCCCUGAGAGAGGGAACACUAAGUUUGAAGUUGGGCAUAGUGAGCACUAUUUUGGAUGAGUUAAGUUUAGAAGUGCCUGAAGACAUCCAAGUGGAAGAAGUGGCUGCAUGGACUGAAGAUACAGACUGGGAAACGUUAACACCAUCAAGGAACUGGAGUCCUGGGCACAGCCCUUCAAGACAGAGGAGAUUAUGGGGCUACUGAACGUAUCUUGGACUUUAGAGAAAGAAAGUGAAGCUGAGCUGAGAUCCAUUGGUUCUAUUUUGGAAAGAUGCACCCCGUGGCAUGACCUUCACAGCUCAGUUCUGGGGUCAAAGGAAUUUUCCAUUGCUCACACUGCCACCCAACUCUGGGGGCAUAAGUGUGGAAGUGGUACAGCACACAUGGAGAAGGGAUGGGAGGAGCAGGGGUGUGUAUCAGCUUAGCCGAUCCCCCGAGGAGCUGCCAAGCUUGCUACCCCAAGAACAAUGCCUCAUAGCUCUGUGACCUCUUCAAGAUUAAGGCUCUUUGAUCUCAGCCCUUCUGAAGUGGUUUGAACCAUAUUCUAUACAAAAUUGGUAACUCCCCCAUAAGAAUUGCUUUUUAAAUAUCCUGCUCUAUUUGAAAAAGGAAUUUUAAAAAUAAAGUUUACCCUUUUACUCUCUCCCAGCAAGUGAGAUAUUCAAAACAACAAAAAUUCCUCUAACAUGUUAUGAUGUGGAAACUGGUAUUUUACUGAUUUGUCUUUUCCACUUGGCUUCAAGUUCUUUGGGGAAUGAAGAUCAUAUCAAUCCCUAGCCGACCGCUUCAGGCACAACUGCAAAUGUUUCUUGAAUGAACUUCCAGGCUUACCUGAAUUCUAAGGGGGAUUUCCACCAUAAUGGGAAAGCCACAAGAAAACCAGCAAAGGGUUUAAAAAAAAAAGGGUGAAAAUAUAAGUUAUUUAUCGGGGGUUAUCACUUUAUGCAGAGAGCAUUCGAAACAAUGAUUUCCACAAAUGGGCAGCAACAGUAACAGCCAUACUAAGCCAUUGCUUUCUUUACUUCCUCUUGGUCUAGAAUAUGCUGCAAAGGGAGAAGAAGGAAGACGUGUGGUAUGGAAUCACCUAUGGAUAAGGUUGAGAACCAUGGGCUAGAUGCUAUGGAGACCAACGUAUCACUUACUAGGCUUUACUUUGUGCCAGGCACUGGAUUCGGCAUUACCCCAUUUAAGCCUCACUACCAUCCUUCAUGUUACUAUUCCACGUUGCCGCUCAGGAGAAACAAAAUUUUUUUAUUAAAUUCAAGUAACCUGAGGUCCCAUAUUUAGUAAGAGGCAGAGGAGUUAGAUGUGUCAAUAGCUAAAUUACAUGGCUGUGUCCUCUAGCUGGCCAGGGACUGACAACAUCAGUAUCACCUGGUGACUCUCCCAGGGGAGAUGUUUUUAAAAAUCUUUUCCAGUAAUUCUGUGCAACAUGGCAAUCUGAAACCAGUCUUUCAGACCUGGAAGUUCUUUAGAGACCACAGGACUCUCUUUGAUAUUUUUUCUUUUGAAUUUUUUUAAAAUACAGAAUCCUUUUUCAUGUUCUCUGUUUAUAAAACAACUGCAUGUCAAUUACAUUAUUUUUUAGAAGAUAGGUACAAGAGCCAGGCGUGGUGGCUCAUGGCUGUAAUCACAACACUUUGGGAGGUCGAGGCAGGUGGAUCAUUUGAGGCUGGAAGUUCGAGACCAGCCUGGCCAACAUGGCAAAACCUGUCUCUACUAAAAAUAUAAAAAAUUAGCCUGGAGUAGUGGUGCAUGUCCCAGCUACUCGGGAGGCUGAGGCAUGAAAAUCGCUUGAACCCGGGAGGUGCAGGUUGCAGUGAGCCAAGAUCGCACCACUGCACUCCAGCCUGGGCAACAGAGCAAGACUGUGUCUUGACAGCAACAAAAAAAGAAGAUAGGUAUAGGAAUUAAAAAGAAAGCAAAUAAUUACUGGUAGCCUGACCACUAAGAGAUAUAUACUGAUAUUUUUUUUGCGGGGGGUGCAUCUCCUUGCAGGCCUUUUUGUAUGUUUAUGUUCAAACACAUUUGUAACAACAAUGAAUAAAAAACGCAUAAUAUUCAAUGACUUUU